UACUUCUGUUUGGGCGAGUCGGUACAUCUUGAAACUUUUGGGUGACAGCGCAAACAGGCAACCACAAGAAUGGAGACACCUACACACAAGCGCUGAGUCAACCUCAAUUAUUU
rnacentral:lncRNA from 1 species